GGCUCACUGCAGCCUCAACUUUCUAGGCUCAAGCAAUCCUCCCACCUCAGCCUCCCGAGCAGCUGGGACUACAGAUGCACAUCACCACACGUGGCUAAUUUUUGUAUUUUCUGUAGGGACGGGGUCUCACCAUGUUGCUCAGCCUGGUCUCAAACUCCUGGGUUCACGUGAUCUUUCCACCUCAGCCUUCCAAAAUGCUGGGCCUUCCCUGUCUCCAAGGAGACCAACCUCUCUCCUGGGCCUCUCCUGGGAUAUCCCACAGACAUCUCAGACUCGGCAUGCUCAGCAUUAAGUUUAUUAUCAAACCAAAUGUGCUCCUCUUCAUGCACCAUCUCAGGGACCUGUGCCAAAGGCUGCCCAGCCACUGGGGUGGAGGGCAUGGCCACCCGGCCCAUCUGACCUGCAAAUUUGUCAUGUGACUCCAGUAUUUAAAAUCCUGCCAGGAUGUAGCCCAGCGGCUCUGCUUGGCCUCCAAGG
rnacentral:lncRNA from 1 species